rnacentral:tRNA from 1 species
UAUAAGAAGCUUAGUGGUCAGAGCGCCUCGGUCGGGUUCCAGGAGGCGCGGGUUCCAGUCCCGCUAUUAUUG